GGUCAUAGCUCAGUGGUAGAACAUCUGCUUUGCAUGCAGAAGGUCCCAGGUUCAAUCUCUGACAUCUCCA